rnacentral:tRNA from 1 species
CAGACCAUAGUUUAAUAGUAAAAUUCGUUGUUAGGGGCAACGUGUUCCAGGUGCAAGUCCCGGUGGUCUGA